UCGCAGAAGAGAGGGUUUCUUACUUUGUGUUUCCCAAAGUCAUGCCAAGAAUUCAGUAGUCAAAGGAAAAAUACUGAAUGGCAACAGUGAUCAGCGCUCCCACCCCGCCCGCUUAGUGAGAACCUCCUUGCCUCCUAGCCGUCCCAGCCCAAACCGCUGAGGGGUCAGGAGUGAUCUGAGUGUGGGAUGGGGCGAGGUCGCCCCAUCAGCCUGAUAAGAACGCUGUGUGAGGCCACACCCCCAACGCCCAUUCACUGGGCAGAACACUGCCACCAGGGGCACAGCUGGUGAGGCCCCAGAAAGGGCUCCAGUCUUUGUAGAGUCGACCAAAAGUCAUUAAGGUAGAGAAGGCCCUACUCACUCCAAGAACCUAGUUCUCUCCAGGAAGCGCUAAAAUUGGAUCAGUGUGGAAAGCCAAAAGGAGAUGAAGAGCAGGCUUGGAGAAUAAAUACUGUAUGUACAGAAGAGCCUCUGUUCUCUAGAGAUUUUUUUUGUAUAACUCAGCUUUCAUCAGCCAAACAUCCAAAGAAGACCGUACCACCCUGACAUUAAAAAAAUAAAAAGUAAAACA